rnacentral:rRNA from 1 species
UACGUAGGUCCCGAGCGUUGUCCGGAUUUAUUGGGCGUAAAGCGAGCGCAGGUGGUUUAUUAAGUCUGGUGUAAAAGGCAGUGGCUCAACCAUUGUAUGCAUUGGAAACUGGUAGACUUGAGUGCAGGAGAGGAGAGUGGAAUUCCAUGUGUAGCGGUGAAAUGCGUAGAUAUAUGGAAGAACCCCGGUGGCGAAAGCGGCUCUCUGGCCUGUAACUGACACUGAGGCUCAAAAGCGUGGGGAGCAAACAGG